rnacentral:rRNA from 1 species
GAUGAACGCUGGCGGCGUGCCUAAUACAUGCAAGUCGAGCGAACGGACGAGAAGCUUGCUUUUCUGAUGUUAGCGGCGGACGGGUGAGUAACACGUGGAUCACCUACUUAUAAGACUGGGAUAACCUCGGGAAACCGGAGCUAAUACCGGAUAAUAUUUUGAACCGCAUGGUUCAAAAGUGAAAGACGGUCUUGCUGUCAUUUAUAGAUGGAUCCGCGCUGCAUUAGCUAGUUGGUAAGGUAACGGCUUACCAAGGCAACUAGGCGUAGCCGACCUGAGAGGGUGGUAGGCGACAUGAGAGCUUGGACACGGUCCAUGGGCCUGCGGUACGCAGCAGUAGGGUAUCUUACGCAGUAGGCGAGAACCUGACGGAGCGAGGCGGCGUGAGUGGUGACGGUGUUCGGAUCGUGAAACUCUGUUAUGAGUGAAGAACAUAUGUGUAAGGAACUGUGCACAUCGUGACGGUAACUAGUCAGAAAGCCACGGCUAACUACGUG